rfam:Oxobacter pfennigii strain DSM 3222 OXPF_contig000062, whole genome shotgun sequence.
AUAUAAAUGCAUUGUACACCGUAGACUGCAGGUGCGAGAGCUUAAAUUACUUGCCUGCAUAGGUGGUUGGGUUAAGAUAAUCAAACCUUCCAUGUCUACUGGAAGGUUUUUUAAUUUGUUUC